UAAUAAGUGAUCUUGGACCUCUCUUUGUUGCCUUACGAUUACGAUAUUACGGUCAUGUCCCGCGAACGUGGGGAUACCCUUAGCAAAGACCCUUCGGUUAAAUCAUCAUAAAAUAAAUUAUAGUCCCUCGGAUGUUGCCUUCGAAUAUACAACUUUGUCCCUCGAUGACCCUCCGAUGUUGCCUACGGUUAAAUGAUGAUAGUCCCUUCGAGUGCUAAGGUAUCCUCAUAACUGUUGCCUUCAAUGACCAAUCGAUGACCCUACGAU
rnacentral:lncRNA from 1 species